CAUUUUUUUUUUUUUAUUGUUCAGGAUGCCGUUUCAGUCAAAAAAUGCAUCAAAACAUGAACUUCAAACUUCAAAGUCGGGUAAAUUCUGAUUUGCUGUCAAUUUUUAUCGUUCAUCAACUGGAAAAUUCCUCUGUAUCGUUACCGUUUUAGAGCUGUCCCUAUUAUCAUAGAAUUAGAUUGAUUAUUGAACGAAAUAGUUAUUUUUAUUGUUAGUUAUCGUCCUUGGUUAUAGGCAUUUUGGCACAGAGCAAAGCUGUUGGAAUCUUACUGGAAACAUAUUAAAUGUCAAGUUUAAUUUUAUGUGUAAAGAAAUUUAAAAUGACCAUCGCCAUUCAAAACCAACCAACAUGACGCCCCUGCCUGCCUGAUGCUUAUACUGAAUUCUGAUUGGACAGUUUUUCCCGCGUUGUCUGAGUUGCUAACUUCCCUGACUGAGGAAUUUAUGCAGAUCUAAAGCCUAAAACCUCAACUUACCUAAUAAUAACAUAUUCCUUUGCUGCCUUUCCAGCACUGUCGUUUCCUUCAGGAAACUUCUGGUAAUGUCAGUUGCGUUUGAGUCAUAAAUCUUUUUGCUCGAAUUUGGUGUCAAUUAAUCUUGGGAAGUUCAUGAUUUCUAAAGAUGGGCACACAGGGAAUUUCUUGUACAAGGAUUGGGGUUAUCCAGCCAGAUGUCCCAUUCUGCUUCCGUGUGACACUCACGCACUGUACCUGUCCUGGCCAGAGCUUCACCUGAAAUUUAAGCUGCUCCAGAAAGCUGAUUAACAGUUCUUAUCCAGCCAGUCACUGUUUAUGGACUUCAGGACCGGAGAAAAUACCAGAUGACAGAUAUCCUGUUCAGCACUCACUUCCUUUAAGCCCAUUACUCAUGGAUGGAUGGAUGGAUGGAUGGAUGGAUGGAUCGAUGAAUGGUAUUCUGAGGAUGGAUGUUCAGCUGUUCUGAGCAGGACAAAAGCCUCAUUUAGAGAAAUCCAUUUCCUUCUCUUCAUCCAAUCAGGUGAUUUGAGGAGGUCAUGGGCAUGAGCAGCCGAGCACACGCUUCGGUGAUGAUGAUGGAGCUUGGAAGGAGUCUGGGGAAUGAAGAUGCUGGAGACACAGAGGGACGACAAUGCAUGAAGUACAGGAAAAGGAAAAGCACAAGAUCCUCAGAGAAUGUGGCUCCAUGAUCCCAGAAUGCGACUGCAAAACCACACAGACAGGAUGAUGCCCGAUUAACUGUAGGGUGGAGGGUAGCAGAGAAGGAGCAUCAUCCAAUUUUCUGCCUCACUACCCGAGUGAAGUAAUACCGUGUGUUGAUACAGUGACCUGAGCUAACCUCUUUAUUAGACAAUCCUGAUUGAAAACAUCUGAAUUCAGCCUUAAAGACAUGCUUAGAGAGCGGCUCCUUCUCGCUCUCUCUUACUUGGGCACAGCCGAUGUUGAGAUCUAACAAAAUCCACUUAAACUGUUUUCCUGAAACAUAACUGAUAAAAUAUGCAUCGAUAGAAGACCUAAUAGUGAAUGUGUAGCCUAUGUCACAAACUAAUGUGGUUAAAUAGAAAUAUAAUAGACUGACCGUGUUCAUGGGUCACAUGGAGGUCUGUCUCAUUAAACCAGUGUGAGGUGAGGUCACCAUUUAAAGUGCUGCCAUAUAUGACUGCAAGCAUAAAAAAUAUAAAAAUAUUGCAGUUUCAUAAAUCUCAUGCUGACGUCUAACUUGUUUUGCCUCUAAAUCACUCCAGGUUGGAAAAUCACUCUAGUUCUGGUUAAUGUUUGUAAUGCUGUCAGUUGAUUGUCUCUGUAACUUUGAUCAGGGUACCUGCUGAGUUCCAUAUUUAGAGCAAAAAUUUGUUCAGUCAGAGUUGCAGAGAUGUCUCAAGGGGAACUUCAAACUGAUAAACCAAAGUCUAAGCUGUCACAGGGAGAAACAUGCACUGCAUCUUUGCAGUCUAAAUAUUUUCUUGCUCUUUUUCUUUCUCCACCUCUCUUCAUUUCUCUGUAUCAGUGACAAAAAAUUACCUUAAGUCACUGUGGUUUCAGGAGCUAUGAUUUUUUUAUAUGGAGAGAAAAAAAAAAAAGGUCGCCGUUUUUAAGCCUUGUGUGGAAAAAUGAAAACUCUAUGCAUGACUAUUUUGUAUAAGCAUAAAUGAAAGUUCAUGUUGAGGAAAGCCAGACAUGCUUUCUGGAUAUUCACAAGACGCACUUCAGAUAUUGCUGCUCAGCAUAUUUCAUUAUAAACACAUUAAGACUCAAGAAUGAGCUUGAAUCCACAUGUUUAUUUUUCAAAAUGCAACUUGCAGUGUUCCUACUGUAUAUGUCACAAAAAAUGCUAAUCUGAUAUCUUGCUUCAUUGAUUAAAAAGAAGUU